CCUACGGGGGGCUGCAGUGAGGAAUAUUGGUCAAUGGGCGCAAGCCUGAACCAGCCAAGUCGCGUGAGGGAUGACGGUCCUAUGGAUUGUAAACCUCUUUUGUCGGGGAGCAAGGCCCGCCACGUGUGGCGGGAAGGAGAGUACCCGAAGAAAAAGCAUCGGCUAACUCCGUGCCAGCAGACGCGGUAAUACGGAGGAUGCGAGCGUUAUCCGGAUUUAUUGGGUUUAAAGGGUGCGUAGGCGGAAGGUUAAGUCAGCGGUAAAAUGUCGGUGCUCAACACCGGCCUGCCGUUGAAACUGGUCUUCUUGAGUGAGCGAGAAGUAUGCGGAAUGCGUGGUGUAGCGGUGAAAUGCAUAGAUAUCACGCAGAACUCCGAUUGCGAAGGCAGCAUACCGGCGCUCAACUGACGCUGAGGCACGAAAGCGUGGGGAUCGAACAGGAUUAGAUACCCCUGUAGUC
rnacentral:rRNA from 1 species